GCUUUAGGAAAUCUAGCCAGGCAGUUUUUGCCAUUAUGGCCUGGGACUUGUUUCUCGUCACAAUCCUGGUCUCCAUCAUUGGUCCCAGUGUCCAGCAGUUACAGACUUUGAAGGACCCCGAAUUUGUGGCUCCAGGUGGGACAGUCACCAUGUCUUGCAGGUUCGAGAGUGGAAACAUCGGUGAUGGCAACUACCCUUGGUGGGCACAGAAAAAACCUGGGAGUAGACCUCGACUGAUAAUGUACAGCACCAGCACCCGACCAUCUGACGUUCCAGCUCGUUUCUCUGGAUCUCGAGUGGGGAAUGUUAUGUCCCUGACCAUCACGGGGGCCCUUCUGGAAGAUGAAGCUGCUUAUUACUGUUGUGUGUGGACUGGGAGUCAGAGGCACAGUGCUUCAUUCAGAUGGGGAAGUAAGACAAAAACCUCCUCUCCUUUGCUCUCUAUGUACACCAACAGAACCUGA